UUUCGCCCCAAAAAGGCUUAUUUUGCCAUUGCCAGAAUCUUGAGAAUAAUCCUGAUGCAGCUUCCAUGUUUAUUUUCCUACUUGCGUCAGCUCGAGCCUUGGCUUGAGCAGGGGUUUCUUCUUCUUCAACAGUCGACGCACGUGCUGCAAUGCAAUAUUGAUAUGAUAUAUAUGGCAACAAACAAUAUUGAUGAGGUCUUUCCCAGCCUCCUCCGAAUAUCCCAAACCCUUCCUUUGGCUGAGACUGAAUCAGGAAUUCAAGCACCGGCAGUUCUUCUUUCUCCACCCAAUGAAUGCAGUUCACAGGGCAUGAAUCGACUGAUACCUGUAAUACCCACGCCAGUUUAACACCACAUUCUAAUUCAUGAAGUAAUUAAUACAUUAUAUAUGUUCUUCUUUAUACAAGUGAUGUCGGGUGAGGGGAUUCGAACACAAAAUGUCAUAUGCAAGGGUAAUUGCUCUUAACUACUUGAGCUACAACCACCUUGCAUACAUUAUUUACCUCAAUCUUUUGUUCAUCGUCACCA